rnacentral:rRNA from 1 species
GCAGUCGAGCGGAUGAAGUAGCUUCGCKACWCUGAYUCAGCGGCGGACGGGUGAGUAAUGCUUAGGAAUCUGCCUAUUAGNGGGGGACAACAUCUCGAAAGGGAUGCUAAUACCGCAUACGUCCUACGGGAGAAAGCAGGGGAUCUUCGGACCUUGCGCUAAUAGAUGAGCCUAAGUCGGAUUAGCUAGUUGGUGGGGUAAAGGCCUACCAAGGCGACGAUCUGUAGCGGGUCUGAGAGGAUGAUCCGCCACACUGGGACUGAGACACGGCCCAGACUCCUACGGGAGGCAGCAGUGGGGAAUAUUGGACAAUGGGGGGAACCCUGAUCCAGCCAUGCCGCGUGUGUGAAGAAGGCCUUUUGGUUGUAAAGCACUUUAAGCGAGGAGGAGGAGCUCUUGGUUAAUACCCAAGAUGCUUGGACGUUACUCGCAGAAUAAGCACCGGCUAACUCUGUGCCAGCAGCCGCGGUAAUACAGAGGGUGCAAGCGUUAAUCGGAUUUACUGGGCGUAAAGCGCGCGUAGGUGGCCAAUUAAGUCAAAUGUGAAAUCCCCGAGCUUAACUUGGGAAUUGCAUUCGAUACUGGUUGGCUAGAGUAUGGGAGAGGAUGGUAGAAUUCCAGGUGUAGCGGUGAAAUGCGUAGAGAUCUGGAGGAAUACCGAUGGCGAAGGCAGCCAUCUGGCCUAAUACUGACACUGAGGUGCGAAAGCAUGUGGAGCACACAGGAUUAGAUACCCUGGUAGUCCAUGCCGUAGACGAUGUCUACUAGCCGUUGGGGCCUUUGAGGCUUUAGUGGCGCAGCUAACGCGAUAAGUAGACCGCCUGGGGAGUACGGUCGCAAGACUAAAACUCAAAUGAAUUGACGGGGGCCCGCACAAGCGGUGGAGCAUGUGGUUUAUUUCGAUGCAACGCGAAGAACCUUUACCUGGUCUUGACAUAGUAAGAACUUUCCAGAGAUGGAUUGGUGCCUUCGGGAACUUACAUACAGGUGCUGCAUUGCCUGUCGUCAGCUCCGGUCGUGAGAAUGUUGGGUUAAGUCCCGGCACCGAGCGCCACCCCUUUUCCUUUAUUUGCCAGCGGGGUUAAGCCUGGGAACUUU